AAUGUGUGCUCGCGGAUAAAAAAGAAUGUAAGCUACUUUUUUUAUCGUAACAUCCGCUAAAACGUUAGAGAGGCCAAGAAACUUGCGGCUUGCUUACAAGUAUAAAAACUCAGAACAGUUCCAGAGCUUUACACAGUGACCGUCAAGGCAGAAACGGAGACCAAAUCAAGCCUGCAUCUUCAUCGCCAUUCGCCAUGAACUCCUACGUUAUCUUGGCACUCGUCAUCCUGGGGCACCUGUGUCAAAUUCACGCAGCCACGCUGAGUAAGCCGGCAAGGAACACAGACGACGCAACGAAAGAACUCACGGAAAGGAUUUCCCGUUCCCUAAUGCAGCACCGUGAGGACAUCAUUGGUGCCUUCGAGGCACUCGAAAAGUCUGCCGACAGCUUCGGCGACGAAACCGACGAGCAGGCCAUUCCGGCCGUAGUUGUGGCCGUCGCGGGGGCCAUCGCAAACGGCGCCAUAUCCGGCGCUGUCGGGGCUGCUGUCGCGAACUUGAUUAACAAAGGCUGAAUACAAUAAAUUGCAUCUUCUUUAUCAUGACGUAUACCUGAUUAUUUCCCAAUGAAAUGAGCUGUAACUUAUAUGAAACGUUUUUCUAGACUCAACCACUCGAGAUUCGCAGUGAAAAAUAUUAUUUACGGCUCCACCUAGUUAUCAUACAUCGACAACGUAUAGACACGUAAACAUGUCCCUCUGCGUUGAAAAGAUGCGUGAAAGAAGCCGGGUUUCACUGGAGACUAGUAGCGUACAUAGUGAAGCAGUCGUUCGCGAAGUAUCGCCG
rnacentral:lncRNA from 1 species